AGCCCGCCCUCCCUCUGAGAGUGUAUAACUGUGCUUCAAUAAGCUUUGUUUCGAGCUUGCAUUUUGGUGUUAGUUUGCAUUUCUUUGCUCGCUAUCACAAGAACCGAGACUGCUCCGGCUCUGUUGAUCUCCUUGGCUGAAGGGUCCAUCCCAACUCAGGAUCCCAGAAUGUCCUGUAUCAUUUUAAUGACUGUGGAGUGUGACUUUGUUCUCAGCACAAUGAGUAACAAAGCCAAAACACUGGAGAAUACGUUUACGUAUUCAAGAAAACCUCAGACAGGGAAGAAUGCUUUCAUAAUACAGUACAUUAAAAUCAGACGAAGCCUCGAAGGGCAGAAUCACCGACCCUGAAAAAUCAGAGUGUACUACAGAAGAAGACAACAGCGUUUGAGCACAUUUGUUGAAGCAGCCUCCUCUCCCUUAUGGUAUGAUAAUCCCACACUGUUUUACCAUGCUCUCUGGCCUUCCCGGAACAUCAAUAAAAACUGCAUCCCAUGA